rnacentral:rRNA from 1 species
UACGAAGGGGGCUAGCGUUGUUCGGAAUCACUGGGCGUAAAGGGCGCGUAGGCGGCUAGAUAAGUCGGGGGUGAAAGCCUGUGGUUCAACCACAGAAUUGCCUUCGAUACUGUCUGGCUUGAGACCGGAAGAGGUUAGUGGAACUGCGAGUGUAGAGGUGAAAUUCGUAGAUAUUCGCAAGAACACCAGUGGCGAAGGCGGCUGACUGGUCCGGUUCUGACGCUGAGGCGCGAAAGCGUGGGGAGCAAACAGG